rnacentral:misc_RNA from 1 species
GAUGAAGAACGCAGCGAAAUGCGAUAAGUAAUGUGAAUUGCAGAAUUCAGUGAAUCAUCGAAUCUUUGAACGCACAUUGCGCCCGCCAGUAUUCUGGCGGGCAUGCCUGUUCGAGCGUCAUUUCAACCCUCAAGCCCAGCUUGGUGUUGGGGAUCGGCACAGGCGCCCUCGGGCGCCCGCCGUCCCCUAAAUCUAGUGGCGGUCCCGCUGCAGCCUCCUCUGCGUAGUAGCAACACUCGCACUGGAUCGCAGCGCGGCCACGCCGUUAAACCCCCCACUUCUGAAAGUUUGACCUCGGAUCAGGUAGGAAUACCCGCUGAACUUAAGCAUAUCAAUAAGCGGAGGA